UGCAGAAUCCCGUGAACCAUCGAGUUUUUGAACGCAAGUUGCGCCCGAAGCCAUUACGCCGAGGGCACGUCUGACUGGGCGUCUCAC
rnacentral:rRNA from 1 species